UACGUAGGGGGCAAGCGUUGUCCGGAUUUAUUGGGCGUAAAGCGUCCGCAGGUGGUCAACCAAGUUUGGGGUGACAGUUCCCGGCUCAACUGGGAAAGUGCUUCGAAAACUGGCUGACUUGAGGGCUUGAGAGGAAAGCGGAAUUCCGGGUGGAGUGGUGAAAUGCGUAGAUAUCCGGAGGAACACCAAUGGCGUAGGCAGCUUUCUGGCAAGUACCUGACACUGAUGGACGAAAGCUAGGGGAG
rnacentral:rRNA from 1 species